rnacentral:rRNA from 1 species
CGGGUGUCCGUUGCAAGGGACUCCGAAGAGCUGUGGCAAGGGGUGAAAAGCCAAUCUAACCUGGAGAUAGCUGGUCUUCUGCGAAACCCGUUUUAGCGGGUCGCCCAUUUAUUGAAAUUAAAUUCGUUACUAGACGGUACGGCACUGGAAGCCACGCAGCUUUUGCUGCAUAAUCGGGGGGCUGUCAUGGCUCUAUCGAUGGCUUCUAACCCCGGAAAUGUAUAGUAUACAAUGAUGGGCAAUCAGACGUAUCGUGAUAAGGCGAUUCGUCAAAAGGGCAACAGCCCAGAACAGGUGUGAAGGUCCCUAACAAGCUACCGAGUGAACACAAGGCAGUCCUCUCCAGUGUCUCUCCACAAAGUGGGCUUGG